CACGUAGUUAGCCGUGACUUCCUCGCCGGGUACCAUCACUCAGAAAGCUUUCCACUCUUUCUGCCUUUUGUCCCCGGCAACAGAGCUUUACGAUCCGAAGACCUUCCUCGCUCGCGCGGCAUUGCUCGUUCAGGGUUCCCCCCAUUGACGAAAAUUCCCUACUGCUGCCUCCCGCAGGAGUCUGGGCCGUGUCUCAGUCCCAGUGUGGCCGUCCGCCCUCUCAGGCCGGCUAUGCAUCGUCGCCUUGGUGAGCCGUUACCUCUCCAACCAGCUAAUGCACCGCAGGUCCAUCUGCAUGCGGGACUCUUGUCCCCUUUUCCAAAAAGAGAUGCCUCCUCUUUGCUCAUCCCGGUAUCAGCUUCCGUUUCCAGAAGUUCUCCCGCUCAUGCAGGCAGGUUCCCCUAGUGUUACUCACCCGUUUCGCCACUCAUAUCCCGAAGAUAUCCCGUUGACUUUGCAUUGUAUUUAGGCAUGCCGCCGGCGUUCAUCCUGAGCCAAGGUA
rnacentral:rRNA from 1 species